UGUGCCAACCGUCGUUGAAAGCGUCAAGUG
rnacentral:piRNA from 1 species